rnacentral:rRNA from 1 species
CCCUACUGCUAUCGGGGUGGGACUAAGACAUGCUAGUCGAGCGCCUUGAGCUAUGGCGAGGCGCGGCGUACAGCUCAGUAACACGUGGCUAACCUACCCUUAGGACGGAGACAACCCCGGGAAACUGGGGCUAAUAUCUGAUAGGUGAGGAGGCCUGGAAUGGUUCUUCGCUGAAAAGGCGUUGAAACCAUGCUUUUCAGCGUCGCCUAAGGAUGGGGCCGCGUCCGAUCAGGUUGUUGGUGGGGUAACGGCUCACCAAGCCUAUAACCGGUACGGGCCGUGAGAGCGGGAGCCCGGAGAUGGGCACUGAGACAAGGGCCCAGGCCCUACGGGGCGCAGCAGUCGCGAAAACUCCGCAAUGCGCGAAAGCGUGACGGGGCUACCCCGAGUGCCGUCCGCUGAGGAUGGCUUUUCCCCGGUGUAAUGAGCCGGGGGAAUAAGGAGAGGGCAAGUCUGGUGUCAGCCGCCGCGGUAAUACCAGCUCUCCGAGUGGUAGGGACGAUUAUUGGGCUUAAAGCGUCCGUAGCCGGCUUAGCAAGUCUUCUGUUAAAUUCAGCGACCUAAUCGUUGAGCCGCGGGAGAUACUACUAGGCUAGGAGGCGGGAGAGGCCGACGGUAUUCUCGGGGUAGGGGUGAAAUCCUAUAAUCCCGGGAGGACCACCAGUGGCGAAGGCUGUCGGCUAGAACGCGCUCGACGGUGAGGGACGAAAGCUGGGGGAGCGAACCGGAUUAGAUACCCGGGUAGUCCCAGCUGUAAACGAUGCGGGCUAGGUGUUGGGGUGGCUACGAGCCACUUCAGUGCCGCAGGGAAGCCAUUAAGCCCGCCGCCUGGGGAGUACGGCCGCAAGGCUGAAACUUAAAGGAAUUGGCGGGGGAGCACCACAAGGCGUGAAGCUUGCGGUUC